rnacentral:rRNA from 1 species
GACGAACGCUGGCGGCGCGCUUAACACAUGCAAGUCGAGCGAGAACCAGGGCUUCGGCCCUGGGGACAGCGGCGAACGAGUGAGUAACACGUGGGUAAUCCACCCUCGGCACCGGAAUAGCCCGGGGAAACCCGGAUUAAUGCCGGAUGGCCCGCCGGCCCUGCGGGGCUGGCGGAAAAGGUAGCUUCGGCCUCCGGCCGAGGACGAGCCCGCGACGGAUUAGCUUGUUGGUGGGGUAACGGCCUACCAAGGCUGCGAUCCGUAGCUGGUCUGAGAGGACGAUCAGCCACACUGGGACUGAGACACGGCCCAGACUCCUACGGGAGGCAGCAGUGGGGAAUCUUGCGCAAUGGGCGAAAGCCUGACGCAGCGACGCCGCGUGAGGGAAGAAGGCCUUCGGGUUGUAAACCUCUUUCAGGAGGGACGAAGCCACUCGGGUUAAUAGCCCAGAGGGUGACGGUACCUCCAGAAGAAGCCCCGGCUAACUACGUGCCAGCCGCCGCCGUAA